GACAUGACGUUCCAGCACAAGCAGCAGCUAAAACAGAACGUUAAUGAGGAAACGGGAGUAGAAAUAUAGAGAGACACUAAUGUAUGUACUUGUGUACGACUGCAGGGUCUGAAGGAUAAUCGCCCCAUCGUCUGAAAAACUGGUGUUUCAUUAUGAAAACUAGCCUGGAAAUCCUUGGACAGAGAUGAGCUGGGAGAGGAGCCAUUAUCAUUACGGAUAUCAUUACACUAAAACACAGCGCAUUAUGGACAGGCUGUCAUGUGCCUGUGAGUCAGUUUUUCUUCCUAGUGGAUGUAGGGCGAAGAUGAUGAUGAUCAGAUACACCAUUUAUCAAUGAACACAUGCAGAGACGCAAACUUUGAUAGAGAAGUUGCCACGACAAUUUGGGGGCUCGUCGGGAUACCUAACCUGAAGAUCCCGUGAAAAAUCCCUGGGUGUCUGCCAAGUCAGGUCUGAGGAUUCGGCCUCAGUCCCAAAGCUCUACCUCGCCUCCAGGUGACUGUAACCAGCCUAAUGGGGUCGAGGAAAGGAUGUCUGUGGGGGAUGGAGUAGGGGUUCUUCAGUACGGUAUCCAAAGGAAAAAGAAUUCGAGCAGGUGAGAUCACAAUACUGUUUAAAGCUUCCAAAUAAAAUCUGUUACAGGAACGGUAUAUAAAUGUAAUAGGUAUUCAUUAAUAAAUAUAUAUAUGUGCAGUAACAAGGUUACACUGAUAUUAGAUAAUAAUUAAUAGUGUGUACGGAUCUAAAAAUAUGGGGAACAAAUCUGGAAAAACUGAGAUAACGGGGCCUGCAAAGGUGAUGUUGGAGAAGCAUGGUGAAGCGGCUCUGGAGGGUUUAAAAUAUUGGUGCAAACUGUGCUUUCCUGAAAUGGGGAGUUUUAGCUUAAAACGAUUACAGGAGUUAGAGAGACGAUUGUUGGGAGUCAGAAAUGAAAAAGAAAAGUUCCAAACUAUGUUGGUGUGCAUUUUAUUUGUGGGAAAGAGAGGGCCAGGAUA